GAUGAACGCUGGCGGCGUGCCUAAUACAUGCAAGUCGAGCGAACGGACGAGAAGCUUGCUUCUCUGAUGUUAGCGGCGGACGGGUGAGUAACACGUGGAUAACCUACCUAUAAGACUGGGAUAACUUCGGGAAACCGGAGCUAAUACCGGAUAAUAUUUUGAACCGCAUUGUUCAAGAGUGAAAGGCGGUCUUUCUGUCACUUAUAGAUGGAUCCGCGCUGCAUUAUCUAGUUGGUAAGGUAACGGCUUACCAAGGCAACGAUGCAUAGCCGACCUGAGAGGGAGAUCGGCCACACUGGAACUGAGACACGGUCCCGACUCCUACGGGAGGCAGCAGUAGGGAAUCUUCCGCGAUGGACGAAAGCCUGACGGAGCAACGCCGCGUGAGUGAUGAAGGUCUUCGGAUCGUAAAACUCUGUUAUUAGGGAAGAACAUAUGUGUAAGUAACUGUGCACAUCUUGACGGUACCUAAUCAGAAAGCCACGGCUAACUACGUG
rnacentral:rRNA from 1 species